ensembl:lncRNA
AGGGGGCGCCGCAGGACAAGGAUGAAGGACGACCUGUUGGGAAUCCCAAACCUGGUGGAUUACGUCUGCAAUAACGAGGAUUUGUAAAGAGAACAAAACAAAUGUACCGUUUCAUUCUUUGUGGUAUUUUUAUAUUGCUUAACUUCAUACUCCGCCCCCCCCGCGCCAGCCACACUUCCUUAUUGGCCUUCUAACUUGUGUCAUCUGGACCUCGAGUCUCAGCAAAGAACUGGAUCCAGCAGUCUGUCCCUGUGGGAUUGUUCUACAUCGAGGGAACCAAACAGCCGACGCUUAAUUCCUUCAUCGGCGGCGUCUUUUAUCUCCGUACUGCCAAACCAGCUCCUUCUAACAUCUUCAUCAUCUACAGAUCGUAUCUUGUGCUCUCCUCAUUGCUUCAAAAUGAAAUGAGUUCAAAGCGCAGGAAGGUGUGGAGGCAUUUUUAUUCCACUGCUCAAUGACUUUUAAAGAUUUUUGAAGAAGAAUUUGUUCCACAGAUGAUUUAAGGUUCUGGGCAUUUAAUUGAAUCGUGGUGGUACGUUUUUAUCCGAAAAUAGUUUUCCAUUUUGGGAGAAGUGAUCAUUUAUUUGACUUGUUGCAGAAUCAGUGAGCCUCUUUCUGCUUGUUUGUCUGCUUUAGCUAUCCAGACUAUGCUAAGCUAACAGUAGCUAGCUAUGCACUGUGCCAUUCAAACCUGAUUUGUUAGAGCUUUAGAUGAGACUAUAUAUUCUGGUCAAAUAACCCAUUUAAAAACAAGUCGACGGACCUUCAUUCGUUGAGUGAUAGCGUAGCUUUUGUACAUUGUAAACAUACAAGUUUAACUUCCAUCCGUUGGAAUCCUGAGUGUUUGUUCUGGUUCACACAUGUAAUCAUGAGCUUUAGUCUAGUUCCCCCUUAUUACAUUGUGUUAACUUUUGUGACUUUUAUUUUUUAAUGCAUUUCUUUUUGUAUAUCUAAACUUUAAUUUGUUGUCUCUUGAAAUGUAAAGUGUCUUAUUUUUUUUAUUUGUACAUUGUCCUUUAUAGAAAGGUUAAAAAACCUGCUAAAGUGUGUUGCUGAGAAAACACUAAGAUCCAAAAUACCCCUUUUGUUUUCUUCUCUAUUUUCAUAAUCUUGAGUUUAUUUUGGGGUCAAAUAGAUGUAAAAUGCAGACUUUUAAGACCUGAAACCAAAUCAAGAUUGUGAAGAAUGACCAACUUGGACUAAUUUGUGUCUGUAACCUGUCUGCAGUUUCUUAAUGAGGGAACAUCGACAAAAAGAACCAACCAAUGACUCCACGACCUCUGCUGGAACCAGUCUGUGUAUAUCUCUAGUUUCUUGCUGUAAUAUAUUUAGAGGCAUUUUUUUAUAAUGGAAAAAAUAUAUCGGGCAAUUCUUCGGGAUUGCAUGAGUUUUUAAUGGUUUUCUUUUGUAGGGAAGUAAUAUCGGCACAAAACCAGAAACCGUUUGGCAUAUUUGUAAGGAUUCUCCCGGCGUGGUGUUGCAACAGCGCUGAACGGCGUGCAGCAUCUCGUGGUUUACCGGCGAAGCUGCACAGGCAAGCAUGCACUGACCUAUAAAAGGCAUGUUGCAGAAGCUUAGGGGGGGGCGGGAUUUAUCUAGAAAAUAAUCUUGGACAGCUGAGUCAAGUGAUGAAAUCAAGCUUGUAACAUGUUUGUAACAUAUUUUGUAAAUUAGUCUCAGCAUGGUCUUCACAGAGGAGAAACCACUCUAUUUAUCAUGCUGUUUUACAAAUAACCAGCGAUGGCCAAGACCUCCACGACAAAAGAAGUACGACUUUGGCCUCCAAGCAUGCACGCACGCACACACACACACACACACACACACAUUUAGCGUUUAGAUUAGCUGGACAGAACGUAGAAAACCCGAUUCUACACCUGUAAUAAUAGCGGUAUGUGUUCUGGCGGGUGGAGUCGACAGUCGAGGAACGUGGACGUCCGCGUGUAACCAUGUUUUAAAUGAGAAGGUAUUAUUAUCUCCUCUCCUGCAUAGAAGAGAGGAGCCGAGCAAAUAAAGGCCGAUGGGAUUAAAGGAGCAAGUCGGUGCCAAUGAGAAAAGUGUUAGUUUCCUAUUUACCUCAUGAUGAAGCUGGGAGGAAACACCCUGCCCACUGUGUAUAGAUGCUAGUUGACUGGUUGUUGGUGCUUUGUCUGCUCCUUACGUUUUUGUUAACUUUACUGUUAUUUCAUAUGAAUAUGAUCUUGUACAUUUGUCAUAAUAAAAUCGGUCUCCAGCCCCACGUCA